UUUCCGUUGGUGAACCAGCGGAGGGAUCAUUACCGAGUUUACAACUCCCAAACCCAAUGUGAACCAUACCAAACUGUUGCCUCGGCGGGGUCACGCCCCGGGUGCGUCGCAGCCCCGGAACCAGGCGCCCGCCGGAGGGACCAACCAAACUCUUUCUGUAGUCCCCUCGCGGACGUUAUUUUUACAGCUCUGAGCAAAAAUUCAAAAUGAAUCAAAACUUUCAACAACGGAUCUCUUGGUUCUG
rnacentral:misc_RNA from 1 species